rnacentral:lncRNA from 13 species
GUCAGGGAUGAUACAGAGGGGAGUCUACAGCAGGCCCCAUCUCCACGCGUGGCCAGGGACACCCUGAGGCCUGGCGGCCCAUCCCUGCUCCCCUCCAGGGGCUUCUUCUCCCUCAGGGCACCCAAGAGGAGAAGGCUUCCCCUGCCCUGCUGUGAAUACUCUCACUGCAAAGACUGAGUGAUUUCCGAGGGAGGCUCACUGCCUGCAGAGAGGCCCAGCCUCCUCUGGAGGCCUGGGGAGGAGCCGCCAGCCCUGAGAGCCACAGAGGAGAAGAGGGCGGCAGGAAGCACCCCGUGAGGUCUGGUGAAACUGAUUUUGCCAAAUGCGUCAAGUUACGGAGCGAAUUAAACCCCACAGUGGGCUGUGCGUUAUUGAGGCAACAGCUGGCUCUCACAGCUUGGGCCCAGGAGCACCCGAGGCAGAGGGUGAGAGCAGCCGUCCCAGCGAGAGGUGAACUCGGGGACCCCAGGUGAGCUCUUGGCCAGUGGGGCCUCUGCAGAGAGGAGAAGGUACCGUCCCUGUGUAUAAGAGAGGAGAGUGCACUCUCUUUUCAACUAUUAUCAUUGAAAUGUCUGUUUGUCCAUUCAGUUCUGUGUUUUUGUUUUAUGUAUUUUGGGGCUCUGUUGUUAGGUGCAUGUGUCUACAGUUGUUAUUUUGCCUGAUGAAUUGGUGUCUAUCAUUAUGAAAUAUUCUUCUUUAUCCCCAGUAACUCUCGUUAUUUUAAAUUACUGUAAGUACUCCAGCUCCCUUACGGUUGCCAUUUGCACGGCGUGUAUUUUUCAUCCUUUCACUUUCAGGUUUUUGUAUCUUUGAAUCUAAAAUGUGUCCCCUGUAGACAAUAUAUAAUUGGAUAUUGGUUCUUUAUCCAGUCUAUCUCUGCCUUUUUAUUGGAUUGUUUAAUCCAUUCACAUUUAAUGUUACUAUGAGCACAGGUGAGUUAUGCCUGCAUUUUACCUUCUGUUUACCAUGUGCCUCGUGGUCUCACGUCUUUCCGUUGUUGCUGUUACUCUAGUCUUCCUUUCCUGAUUUCUUUUCUAAUUAAGUGAAUUUUUUUUUUUUUUUUGAGACAGUGUUUCGCUCUUGUUACCCAGGCUGGAGUGCAAUGGCGCAAUCUCGGCUCACCGCAACCUCCGCCUCCUGGGUUCAGGCAAUUCUCCUGCCUCAGCCUCCCGAGUAGCUGGGAUUACAGGCACGCGCCACCAUGCCCAGCUAAUUUUUGUAUUUUUAGUAGAGACGGGGUUUCACCAUGUUGACCAGGAUGAUCUCGAUCUCUCGACCUCGUGAUCCACCCG